rnacentral:rRNA from 1 species
CGCCCGUCGCUCCUACCGAUUGGGUGUGCUGGUGAAGCGUUCGGAUUGGCGUUGGUGAGCGGUUCGCCGCCCGCCCUCACUGAGAAGUUCGUUAAACCCUCCCACCUAGAGGAAGGAGAAGUCGUAACAAGGUUUCC